CUAUUAGGGUAGAGGGGGGUGGUGAAUUAUUUUUUUUGAGAGGGGUUGAGAAUUUUCAGAUUUUUAUUUACAAUAGGGUUUCACUAUUUAUAAAUUUUCCGGCGCCGCCACCACCGGAUUCCGGCCAAGCUCGGACAGCCCUAAAACCCCCAUUUUUUCCCUCCCAUUUCUUCUCCAAACCAGAUCCAAGACCCCUUCUGGCUACUCUCACUUUGUCAUUUCUGGCAAAAUUCUGGUGAAAUCCCACCUCUUUUCCGACCAAACAACUCAACAGCUUCCCAACACCACCAUAUCUCCACCCAAAAACGACCAAGGAUCCACCACAAUCCCAUCUCUGGCGAAAACAUCCAAAUACCCGCCUGAAACCAGCAAGCCAUCGAGCUCGAAGCUCACAAUCAGAUCUCCACCACCCAAACGACCCCAAGUUCCAACUCCGGCAAGGAGCUCAAAGCUCCGAUGAACCGGAGCAAAUGAAGGCGAUGACCAGCCCCUUCCCCUCUCCCCUUUACAUAUUUUCUUUCGUUUUCGCAGGUGAACUACAACAACAACAACAACCAGCAGCUCUGACCUCUGGCAAAGAAGUCAGACCCAACCAAAUCUCAGCCAAAGCACACAUUGUCACUCCAUUUCCGGCAGACCACCGUUUCAAUACUGUUGGUACCCGGAGCUGCUUCCCAUUGAAGCUAUUCGAACAAAGUUCGAACAAUAUUUUGAUUCAUUAUCGUAUAUUAUUGACGAUAGAAAAAUCUAGGUUGUUUCUUAUAAUAUUUUAUUUUAUUA